rnacentral:snRNA from 1 species
AUUGCUUCUCGUCCUUUUGGCUAAGAUCAAGUGUAGUAUCUGUUCUUAUCAGUUUAAACUAAAUUCAUCAUAAUUUGAAAAUAAAUAAAAAUUCUCCCAACAUAAUUCAUCAAGGAAUUCACAUCAUUUUCCAAAUGGAGUAAAUAUA